GUGGUGUGUGUGUGUGUGUGUGUGUGUGUGUGUGUGUUUGUGUGUGUUGCCUGUUUCUCUAGCAGCAGGUGGUAGAAUUUGCAUUGCAUUGAAGUGGGUGUAGUGGCAAGGAUUGCAAAAAUAAAGAUUACAUCUCUGCUUCUCAAUAAUAUAACAAACAGUGCAAUCCUACACACACACACACACACACACACACACACACACACACUGU